GAAGUCCGGUACUAACAUUACUGCUGCUCAUCAAUGGCAAGUAUCUGGUAAACCAUCAAAGAAUGAAGAAAUAGUGCCACCAAUGUUUCUAUUAUAACUCAGGCUUUAGUGUAUGGUGCUGGUUAAAGUGUGCUUCAACAAUGCCUCGUAGCGGUUCUUUAAAAUGUGUGAGACAGACUGGCUCUUUUAAACCAAGACGAAAAGACCAGGUGGAAGGUAUAUAGGAUAUUUAAUGAAGUCUGCAUUGUGAUUGGGCAGAAAUAAGUCGAUCGAUUAAAGUGUCCAUUUUAUAAGGUCAUGGUAGCUGUGUUCACUAACUGUGCUGUCACAGAAAAACACUGCUUCCGUUCGUCUCGCGAUUAUAAUUCAGAGCACCUCUCAGGGCAAGACUGUGAGCUGCCACCGUGGGAAAUGACUGCAAUCAUCGCUGAAGGCAGAAUAUUCUUCCUCUUUCUCUCCUCUUUGUCUUUCUCUCUUUGUGAUGGAGGGUUUGUGGGGAGGAGAGAGGGGGGAUUCAGCUCUCAGCACACUUUAAUUGGAGAUGUGUCACACUGAAUAAAUAGUGUGAACACAACCAGCACCUAGAGACGUGAACUAGCAGCCCAGGGGAAGCCAGCAGCUUUAUUGGGCUGCAGCCAUCGUGCCACAGGGCCAUAGAUGAUAGUGCCUUACACAGCGAUAGUCACUAUCAGCAGAACUCGAUGCAGGUUUAUUUUACUGAUGAUUCUAUCCAUAUAUUUACAUGGAUAAACUCAUUAAAUGCCAUAGUUUUAUAUACCUUUGUAAUAAAAGUUUACUUUCACAUCAUUGAAAUACAAAUAGAAGACAGAGCCCUAUCAUAAAGCGCUUUCUCACUGCAUAGUGUAGUCAGUGAACACUACAUCACUGAUAGUUCCUGUUUUAGACUCGACUCUGAAGUAGCAAGAACCAGGAACUUGAGCCAAUAGUUUUAGGAGCUAUGAAACGUUCCUCUGGUGUCAAAGCACCUAUACACUCGGUGCAAUGUGACACAAGUGUUUUUUGCUACUUUCAGCCGGAUGCAGUUAUCAUUUUCACGUCCAGCACCACAUUGUUUAAAUAGCAAAUGCACUCGUGGCCAUCUGUUCACCCAUGGGCAUGCUGGUCUGAAAACUAGGUGUUUUCAGGUGCAUUGUUGGCGCGUUGCUAUUUUCAGGCAAUUAAAAACUAUUGCACCAUGGACCAACUAAAACCUGGUCUAAAGUCAAUGGGUGCAGUAUUUUUCUUCCACUGUGGUGCAAUGCAACUGGCUUUAAAGGGAAUGGGAGAUGAGACUCUGAUUGGAUUUUAUAAGUUACACCCAAAACACACCAAUGACUCAUGAAGAGAAUGGGUACGAGCCUUUUGGACAAUGCGCCAGGUGCGCCAACAGUUUUUUUUUUUUUUUUUUCUUCUGUCAUUAAACUAGCAAACGUUGAUUCGGACAGGCCCUAAGUGCACCUGUGCCAUGCGCUUCAGACCAUGCACUUACAUAUCAUUCAAAAAGUGUUGUAAUGGCACUGAUUAGCAUGCUCAGGUGUGUUGGAUUAGGGUUAGAGGAACUCUGCAGGAAAGUUGAUCCUGUGGGCCAGAUUUGAGGAUCCCUGGUCUGCUGAUUGACAAAAAAAUGGAUGUCACAGAGCCACAAAAUGUUUGUCCAGUCAUUGCAGUCCAUUCGAGUGCAAUGAUUGGAUGUCCUACCUGCCUGUCAUCUUAUGUAUUUGCAUACCUCGGCGCAGCCAAUAGCGUGAGUCUGGGGGCGUGGCUACUGCAGCAUAUCAGCCAGAGGGUGUUUAGCUAGUGUGGAAAAACAACUUAAGAUUUCGUUACAGAAGUGCAAGACAAAAUACGAAGACUUGUUAAAAUAGAUAUGGAAUGUUUGGGUCUCCGAUCGAGGCGAUGACCUUGUGGCGUUUCUUCACGACAGGCAUUUUCAUCUUCUCUGCAUAUUCUCUCCAGCAGCGAUGCUAUUAAAAUAGCCUUGAAUGACUAGAGAACUGUGCAACUAAAAACCUAAGAGCAAUCACAAAAACACAUCUAUGUCCCAAAAACAAGACCCCUGGCACUCAGAAAUACUGAGUGAACAUGUGCUGCGAUGAAACAAGACACGAACGAGCUCUGCCAAAAACCCCGAGCAAGGGCACGAUGUCCGCCAGCCUCCACCCACAGCCGGGACGCCUCCAACUGAACCCGGCCACACUGGAAGCUUACGAAUAUUAGCAGUCAGUCUUAACCAACACAGGACCUUUCUCUUCUCGAUCAUGACAAUAUAAGACAAGGCUCAGAAAGACAUGAUCGAUUGAGAACUUGACUGGUCUGCUGUGACUUUAAAUACAGACCUUGAGCCAAACACCAGUCAAAUCAUUUGAGACAGCUCCAAAACUGUUUCAACCGAGAUGGAAAUACAAUUUUUAAAUACAUGAAUUACAUGAAUGACUUUUCCUGUUCUAAAGAAGGAGUGCCAAUACUUUUGUCCAUAUAGUGUAUGUGCAUAAAUUGUAGGUAGAGGUUCACUCACAGUUACAAGGAAACGUACAGUAACAUUUUGAAGACCAAAAUCCAAGUAAGAAACAAAAAUAUGUUGCUGGUACAUCAUGUAAACGUUCAAAAUAAACUAAAUCCUAUAUAUAUAUA